rnacentral:lncRNA from 1 species
CAUUCUUGAAUAGGUGAGGAUGCCGUAGAGUGGGAAGAAACCGAAAUCGCCUCUGUGCCUUGCACGCCUGACAAUGGAGACGGGGAAAACAACCAAGCUAAAAGAAAACUCUGAAGUUAGCCAAGAACAGAGAUCGACCUCAGAGCAAAAUAGGGAGGAAUAUGCCUCUUUUACCGGAUCUCAAACUCGACUUUCCCCCUUCACAGCAGCUGUAGCAUGUGUUUGCAGGGAUGAUUUGGGAAGAAUUAUUGAUGGUUUUACUAAAUCUGUGGAGGUUAGAACGGCCGAGCAAGCGGAGGUAAUGGCUCUAUUGAAACUCUAGAUUUUAUCUCCUUGAAGCUGGCCCUGAAUAGAACUGAAAAAGAAAUAAUUAUACACUCUGACUGCAGCACAGUGGUAAAGGGGAUCCACUCUUCAGAGACUAUUAGUUGGGAAAUACAACCACUUUUGGACCGGGUAAAACAGAAACUGGAAAAAAUGUCAGGUCUUACAAUAGCUCAUUGUAAU